CGAAGGUGCCCCCUUUUCAGGCAGGGCUUCCUCCCUGAGAAUGUGCUCCUCUCCUGGUAUCUGCUUAUCUCCUGGAAUCUGAGACACAACAUAGAGCAACCCCCAGGCCAGCCAUGACUGGAGCCUCCCAAGUUGCAGGGAAGGGCCCUGUACUAGGCCAAGAACCUAUCCUGACCAGUU
ensembl:lncRNA novel transcript